GACCAUUUGGUGCAAUGGCAGCACGCCAAACCCUCACGGCCCACGUUGUCUUCUUGGAAAGUGAUUUCCUUGGGGUACAACGUGGACCGAGAUUUGGAGACGUGGGUUCGAUUCCUGCAGUGGUUA